UGAGGAAUAUUGGUCAAUGGGCGGAAGCCUGAACCAGCCAAGUCGCGUGAGGGAUGACGGUCCUAUGGAUUGUAAACCUCUUUUGCCGGGGAGCAAAGACAGCCUUGCGAGGGUGUCCGGAGAGUACCCGGAGAAAAAGCAUCGGCUAACUCCGUGCCAGCAGCCGCGGUAAUACGGAGGAUGCGAGCGUUAUCCGGAUUUAUUGGGUUUAAAGGGUGCGUAGGCGGGAUGUUAAGUCAGCGGUAAAAUUGCGGUGCUCAACGCCGUACAGCCGUUGAAACUGAUAUUCUUGAGUGGGCGAGA
rnacentral:rRNA from 1 species